GUUGCAUCUUGCUCCCUCUGGUGUUAUAAAUGGCAACCGGCACUAAUUGAACCACAUUAAAGGCAAACUACACUCAUUGGCAGUAGCAUAGGCACACAUAAAAUUUCUUCUGAAAUUUUCGCUUUCUAGUUAUUAUUAUUAUUAUUCUCCAGUUUCCGCCUGAAAUUUUGCAGCGAAUCUCGCCCCGCAGUUUUGAGACAAGCUUCAUAUAUGUUACCUCAUUUUGUGCGGCCGGAUCUGGAAUGGUGUGCUAUGACUUUUGGUGUUUAUGAAUUUUAUAGUUUUUUAAAUAUUAAUAUUUUAGUGAAAAUUUUCCCGCGCUCCUCUGCCAAACAGUUUUGACAUUAGGGUUACAUAUGUUAGAUCAUUUUGUGCGGCUGGAGCUGGACUACUAUGUUAUGACUUUUGGUGUUUAUAACUUUUAUAGUUUUUUAAAUAUUAAUAUUUUAGUGCAAAUUUAGGCCAAUUCAUCUUUUGGCGCCAAACAAACAGACUUCAUUUGUGGUGUGUUGGCGCCAUCUUUUGGUCCCAUUGAAACAAAUUUCAAACUUCAUUUGUGGUGUGUUGGCUCUCUCUAGUGGUAUGUCCGGAGUGGUACGGCCUGUCUACCCUUAUUUGGGUAGCAAUGACGACACUAAGCAAUGACGACACUAUCAACGGCGCGUCUCUUCGCCCCUCCUCCGCUUUGAAAUUGACCGUAAACGUGCUUUUCUGAGACAGCGUCGCUAUCUCUUCGGUGGUAACGCGUCUUUCUCCCCCUCCUCCGCUUUGGAAUUGAACUUACAGGGAUUUUCUGAAGUGUUUACUAAGACACCCGUAAGCUUUUACAAGGCGUUAACUACAGCAGUCUUUAAUACCUCAACUCUUGCUUCAGCCAAGGUAAGUGUCCCCCUUAUAUUUUCUGUGUGUGUUCAGGUGAUAUCUAGAAAAUAGAGCUGUUGUUUGUAAUUAAAACUUUUAAGAUUAGAUGGUACAGUGUUUUUACUCUCUUCCAAACAGUAAAGUUCCUCUUUGUCUCUCAGUAGGAAAUCUAAACCAGACAGUACAAGGGUACAUUUCAGCGUUACAAGCCAAUCAGUUUGCUAAUUGUUCUGUGAGAUUUGUUUGCAAAGUUUAAGGUGUUAAAGCAGGAGCUGGCAUUCUGCCAGAGCCUCAGCAACAAGACCGCCUCCCAGCAACGAGACUGCCUGUCAGCCUUGCAAGGUACCCAAUUUUCCAAUUACUCUAUAACAAAACUGUUGUGGGCAACAAGACUGUCUCCUAUGUUUGCAAGCCAAUCACUUUGUUCUUGUAAGAUUUGUUUGAAAAGUUUGAGGUGGUAACUGUGAGCUGUGAACAUCCGGGUUUGCUUGCUGCUGGCAUUCGACCAGCGUCUCAGCAACAACACUGCCUCCCAGCUUUGCAAGGUAAUUACUUUCCCAAUUACUGUACACCAAAAUGGACUAACUGUCGUGGUCAACAAAUCUGCCUCCCAACUUUCAAGGUAAUCACUUUCCCAAUUACAAUAUACAAACUGUUAUGGAACUUUACUUAACAAAGCCUUAAGACCAGGUAGUGACACUAUCAAUAUGUCUAUUUAAAGAAAAGAGAUUUUUUUUUUUUUGUUCUUGUAGUCAUCUUGUCUAUCAAUGUAUCAGAGGGUUAAAAUAACAAAUUGCUUGAAAUGCCAAUAAUUAAUAUUCUGUUUUUAUGCUGACAUUCUACCAGAUGCCGAGAAAAAUAAAAGAUCCCAGGCACAAAAGAAGCGCUGGAAACCACUUGACUUGGUCGAUCCUGCUGUCCCAAUGCUCACUGGCCACAACCAAGAUGAGGCAGUCAGUCGUUUUCCAUCUGACCAGCAGACGGCACCAGCCAGGUUAUCUUUGGAAACACAGGAUAGACCCACCUCCUUAUGUUCCCCAGGUCCCAAGACAGCACCAGCCAGCUUGUCCUUGGAAACGGAGAAUAGACCCACCUC
ensembl:lncRNA